GACGGAGGGUGCAAGCGUUGUUCGGAUUUACUGGGCGUAAAGGGCGUGUAGGCGGUUGGUCAAGUCCGAUGUGAAAGUCCAGGGCUCAACCCUGGAAAGCGGGUGGAUACUGCCGGGCUCGAAUCCGGAAGAGGCGAGUGGAAUUCCUGGUGUAGCGGUGGAAUGCGCAGAUAUCAGGAGGAACACCAAUAGCGAAGGCAGCUCGCUGGGACGGUAUUGACGCUAAGGCGCGAAAGCGUGGGGAGCAAACAGG
rnacentral:rRNA from 1 species